GCCCGCUGCCUCGCUCAACGAUGGAUGGAGCAGAAUAUGCUCGGCCAUCGGCAGUGCCGCUGAAGCCGCGCUAGGUAGUACGGUCCGAGUUGGAAAGCAGCGCUGGUUCGACGAGGAGUGCCAGCGGCUACUUGACGAGAAGAAAGCAGCUUACGCGGUGAAGC